AACGAACGCUGGCGGCAUGCCUAACACAUGCAAGUCGAACGAGACCUUCGGGUCUAGUGGCGCACGGGUGCGUAACGCGUGGGAACCUGCCCUUAGGUUCAGAAUAACUCCCCGAAAGGGGUGCUAAUACCGGAUAAUGUCUUCGGACCAAAGGUUUAUCGCCUUUGGAUGGGCCCGCGUUGGAUUAGCUAGUUGGUAGGGUAAAAGCCUACCAAGGCGACGAUCCAUAGCUGGUCUGAGAGGAUGAUCAGCCACACUGGGACUGAGACACGGCCCAGACUCCUACGGGAGGCAGCAGUGGGGAAUAUUGGACAAUGGGCGAAAGCCUGAUCCAGCAAUGCCGCGUGAGUGAUGAAGGCCUUAGGGUUGUAAAGCUCUUUUACCCGGGAUGAUAAUGACAGUACCGGGAGAAUAAGCUCCGGCUAACUCCGUG
rnacentral:rRNA from 1 species